CGUGUAGGCGGUUGGGCAAGUCAGAUGUGAAAGCCUUCUGCUCAACGGAAGAAGUGCAUUUGAAACUACCCGGCUAGAGUACGGGAGAGGAGAGCGGAAUUCCCGGUGUAGAGGUGAAAUUCGUAGAUAUCGGGAGGAACACCGGUGGCGAAGGCGGUUCUCUGGUCCGAUACUGACGCUGAGACGCGAAAGCGUGGGGAGCAAACAGGAUUAGAUACCCUGGUAGUCCACGCCGUAAACGAUGGGCACUAGGUGUAGGAGGUAUUGACCCCUUCUGUGCCGAAGCUAACGCAUUAAGUGCCCCGUCUGGGGAGUACGGCCGCAAGGCUAAA
rnacentral:rRNA from 1 species